UUUGCCAGCUCAAUUAAUGAGCUUAGAUCAGACGGUCCACGCUUUUUUCCAAUUUCUAUUUUCUGUUUUUAUUUCCUUUUAUUUUCUUUAAUUCCAUUUUAUUUCAAAUUAAUGAGCUUAGAUCAGACGGUCCACGCUUUUUUCCAAUUUCUAUUUUCUGUUUUUAUUUCCUUUUAUUUUCUUUAAUUCCAUUUUAUUUCAAAAAUCAAUAUCUCUUUCAUUUUUUAUCCAAAACUUAUGGGACCAAUUGCAUUAUUUCCCAAAUAAAUUCUAGUUUCUAUUUCUGAUUUUUAAUAUUUUUUAUUUUAUCAUUUGAUAUUUUUUGUGAAUUUUCUCUUUUUUGGUUAUUUUUAAUUCAUUUUAAAUAGUUUUUGAUAUUCAAAAAAU
rnacentral:lncRNA from 1 species